AAUCAACGCUGGCGGCGUGCCUCAGACAUGCAAGUCGAACGCGAAAGUUCCCUUCGGGGAGCGAGUAGAGUGGCGUCCGGGUGAGUAACACGUAGGUAAUCUACCUUUGGGUGGGGAAUAACAACCGGAAACGGUUGCUAAUACCGCAUAAUGCAGCGGCACCGCAUGGUGACAGUUGUUAAAGCGGGGGAUCGCAAGACCUCGCGCCUAAAGAGGAGCCUGUGGCGGAUUAGCUAGNGGCAGGGUAACGGCCUACCAAGGCAACGAUCCGUAGCCGGCCUGAGAGGGCGGUCGGCCACACUGACACUGAAAUACGGGUCAGACUCCUACGGGAGGCAGCAGUCGGGAAUUUUGGGCAAUGGGCGCAAGCCUGACCCAGCAACGCCGCGUGAAGGAUGAAAUCCCUCGGGAUGUAAACUUCGCAAGAACGGAAGAAUAAGUCUGUGUGAUACCACAGAUGAUGACGGUACCGUUUGUAAGCUCCGGCUAACUCCGUGCCAGC
rnacentral:rRNA from 1 species